AUACGUAGGGGGCGAGCGUUGUCCGGAAUGAUUGGGCGUAAAGGGCGCGUAGGCGGCCUGUUAAGUCUGGAGUGAAAUUCCUGCUUUCAAGGUAGGAAGUGCUUUGGAAACUGGCGGGCUGGAGUGCAGGAGAGGUUAGCGGAAUUCCCGGUGUAGCGGUGAAAUGCGUAGAGAUCGGGAGGAACACCAGUGGCGAAGGCGGCUAACUGGACUGUAACUGACGCUGAGGCGCGAAAGUGUGGGGAGCAAACAGGAUUAGAUACCCUGGUAGUCCACACGGUAAACGAUGAAUGCUAGGUGUAGGGGGUAUCGACCCCUUCUGUGCCGGAGUAAACACAAUAAGCAUUCCGCCUGGGGAGUACGGCCGCAAGGUUGAA
rnacentral:rRNA from 1 species